GAUGAACGCUGACGGCGUGCCUAAUACAUGCAAGUCGAGCGAACGGACGAGAAGCUUGCUUCUCUGAUGUUAGCGGCGGACGGGUGAGUAACACGUGGAUAACCUACCUAUAAGACUGGGAUAACUUCGGGAAACCGGAGCUAAUACCGGAUAAUAUUUUGAACCGCAUGGUUCAAAAGUGAAAGACGGUCUUGCUGUCACUUAUAGAUGGAUCCGCGCUGCAUUAGCUAGUUGGUAAGGUAACGGCUUACCAAGGCAACGAUGCAUAGCCGACCUGAGAGGGUGAUCGGCCGCACUGGAACUGAGACACGGUCCAGACUCCUACGGGAGGCAGCAGUAGGGAAUCUUCCGCAAUGGGCGAAAGCCUGACGGAGCAACGCCGCGUGAGUGAUGAAGGUCUUCGGAUCGUAAAACUCUGUUAUUAGGGAAGAACAUAUGUGUAAGUAACUGUGCACAUCUUGACGGUACCUAAUCAGAAAGCCACGGCUAACUACGUG
rnacentral:rRNA from 1 species